GAGAUAUAUACUGUCUCAUAUAUAUAAAAUGAAUUUAAAUUUUUAGUAAAAAUGCUUAAAUAAUUUUAUGGGACGAUAAGACCCUAUAGAAUUUUAUAUUAAAAUUUUAUUAAUUAUUUAGUUAAAAUUUUAAUAUUUAGUUGGGAGGAUUAGUAAAUAAAAUUAACUUUAUUUUAAAAAUAAACUUUGAUUUAAGAAUAAAAUUUUGAUCUUAUAUUAUAAAUUAAAAGAAUAAAUUACCUUAGGGAUAACAGCGUAAUAUCUUUUUAAAGAUCAUAUUAAUAAAGAUGUUUGCGACCUCGAUGUUGAAUUAAGAUAAAUUUUAAAUGAAGAAAUUUAAAGAUUAAGUCUGUUCGACUUUUAAAAUCUUACAUGA
rnacentral:rRNA from 1 species